rnacentral:rRNA from 1 species
GAGCUUGCUCUUCACAUCGAGUGGCGAACGGGUGAGUAACGCGUGAGGACCUGCCUCAAAGAGGGGGACAACAGUUGGAAACGACUGCUAAUACCGCAUAAGUCGGCAUCGAAAAAGGAGUGAUCCGCUUUGAGAUGGCCUCGCGUCCGAUUAGCUAGUUGGUGAGGUAACGGCCCACCAAGGCGACGAUCGGUAGCCGGACUGAGAGGUUGAACGGCCACAUUGGGACUGAGACACGGCCCAGACUCCUACGGGAGGCAGCAGUGGGGAAUAUUGCACAAUGGGGGAAACCCUGAUGCAGCGACGCCGCGUGGAGGAAGAAGGUCUUCGGAUUGUAAACUCCUGUUGUUGAGGAAGAUAAUGACGGUACUCAACAAGGAAGUGACGGCUAACUACGUGCCAGCAGCCGCGGUAAAACGUAGGUCACAAGCGUUGUCCGGAAUUACUGGGUGUAAAGGGAGCGCAGGCGGGAAGACAAGUUGGAAGUGAAAUCCAUGGGCUCAACCCAUGAACUACUUUCAAAACUGUUUUUCUUGAGUAGUGCAGAGGUAGGCGGAAUUCCCGGUGUAGCGGUGGAAUGCGUAGAUAUCGGGAGGAAC